UUACCUCAGUAACGGCGAGUGAAGCGGUAACAGCUCAAAUUUGAAAGCUAGCUCUUUAAGGGUUCGCGUUGUAAUUUGUAGAAGAUGCUUCGGGUGUGGCCCCGGUCUAAGUUCCUUGGAACAGGACGUCAUAGAGGGUGAGAAUCCCGUAUGUGACUGGGUGCUUUCGCUCAUGUGAAGCUCUUUCGACGAGUCGAGUUGUUUGGGAAUGCAGCUCAAAAUGGGUGGUAAAUUUCAUCUAAAGCUAAAUAUUGGCCAGAGACCGAUAGCGCACAAGUAGAGUGAUCGAAAGAUGAAAAGCACUUUGGAAAGAGAGUUAAACAGUACGUGAAAUUGUUGAAAGGGAAGCGCUUGCAACCAGACUUGCGCGCCGACGAUCAUCCGGGCUUCUGCCCGGUGCACUCGUCUGCGCUCAGGCCAGCAUCGGUUUCGGUGGUGGGAUAAAGGCCUUGGGAAUGUAGCUCCUCUCGGGGAGUGUUAUAGCCCUCGGUGCAAUGCCGCCUACCGGGACCGAGGACCGCGCUUCGGCUAGGAUGCUGGCGUAAUGGUUGUAAGCGACCCGUCUUGAAACACGGACCAAGGAGUCUAACAUCUAUGCGAGUGUUUGGGUGUUAAACCCAUACGCGUAAUGAAAGUGAACGGAGGUGAGAACCCUUAAGGGUGCAUCAUCGACCGAUCCUGAUGUCUUCGGAUGGAUUUGAGUAAGAGCAUAGCUGUUGGGACCCGAAAGAUGGUGAACUAUGCGUGAAUAGGGUGAAGCCAGAGGAAACUCUGGUGGAGGCUCGCAGCGGUUCUGACGUGCAAAUCGAUCGUCAAAUUUGCGUAUAGGGGCGAAAGACUAAUCGAACCAUUCAGAAAUGGCAAUCUAACAAUUGUUUUUGCUACUAGGUGGUUAAGAGAUGCCUUAAAGUGGUAUUUAGUCCUUUUUAGGGCAACACUGUCAAAUUGCGGGGGAUGUCCUGUUUAAAAUUCCUAAACCUACUGCCAGCUUUCCCUGAAAAGGGGUUAGGCGGCGGCACUCGGCUAAAUGGCUCCUGGGGAAUUGCUUAAAAACGAUUAGAUAGGAUAAUCGCAGCUAGUCGUAGAUCCUACGGAUCUACGGAC
rnacentral:rRNA from 1 species